rnacentral:tRNA from 1 species
UCGAUUUCAAAAAUCGUGAGGGUUCAAGUCCCUCUAUCCCCAAAAAGACCAUUUGACUCCCUAAUUAUUUAU